rnacentral:rRNA from 1 species
AAAACCAUUUAACCAUAAAUUUAAGGGGGGCUAAAACGCACGUCACGCGGUUUGAUAAGUCAGAUGUCCUCUUUAAAAAAAAAGCUGGGAACUGCAUCUGAUACUGCCAUUUUUGACCCCCGUAAAGGGGGGUAAAUUCCAGGUGUAUCGGUGAAAUGCGUAGAGAUCGGGAGGAUACCGGUGGCGAAGGCGGCCCCCUGGACGAAGACUGACGCUCAGGUGCGAAAGCGUGGGGAGCAAACAUGAUUAACAUACCCUGGUAGUCCACGCCGAAAACAAUGGCUACUUGGAGGUUGUGCCCUUGAGGCGUGGCUUCCGGAGCUAAAGCGUUAAGUCGACCGCCUGGGGAGUACGGCCGCAAGGUUAAAACUCAUAUGAAUUGACGGGGGCCCGCACAGUCGGUGGAACAUAUGGUUUAAUUCGAUGCACCGCGAACAACCUUAUCUGGUCUUGACUUCCAUGGAAUUUUUAAGAGAUGAUAUUGGGCCUUCGGGAACCGUGAUACAGGUGCUGCAUGGAUGUCGUCAGCUCGUG